UACGGAGGAGGCAAGCGUUAUCCGGAAUUAUUGGGCGUAAAGCGUCCGUAGGUGGCUAGUCAAGUCUGCGGUCAAAGACUGGGGCUUAACCCUGGAGAGGCCGUGGAAACUGACGAGCUAGAGUGCAGUAGGGGUAGAGGGAAUUCCCGGUGUAGCGGUGAAAUGCGUAGAGCUCGGGAAGAACAUCGGUGGCGAAAGCGCUCUACUGGACUGCAACUGACACUCAGGGACGAAAGCUAGGGGAGCGAAUGGG
rnacentral:rRNA from 1 species